UACGAAGGGGGCUAGCGUUGCUCGGAAUCACUGGGCGUAAAGCGCACGUAGGCGGAUUGUUAAGUCAGGGGUGAAAUCCUGGAAGCUCAACUCCAGAACUGCCUUUGAUACUGGCGAUCUCGAGUCCGGGAGAGGUGAGUGGAACUGCGAGUGUAGAGGUGAAAUUCGUAGAUAUUCGCAAGAACACCAGUGGCGAAGGCGGACUCACUGGCCCGAUACUGACGCUGAGGCACGAAAGCGGUGG
rnacentral:rRNA from 1 species